rnacentral:rRNA from 1 species
UACAGAGGGUGCUAGCGUUGUUCGGAAUUAUUGGGCGUAAAGAGCUCGUAGGCGGUUUGUCGCGUCUGCCGUGAAAGUCCGGGGCUCAACUCCGGAUCUGCGGUGGGUACGGGCAGACUAGAGUGAUGUAGGGGAGACUGGAAUUCCUGGUGUAGCGGUGAAAUGCGCAGAUAUCAGGAGGAACACCGAUGGCGAAGGCAGGUCUCUGGGCAUUAACUGACGCUGAGGAGCGAAAGCAUGGGGAGCGAACAGG